rnacentral:rRNA from 1 species
UACGUAGGGGGCAAGCGUUGUCCGGAUUUAUUGGGCGUAAAGAGCGUGUAGGCGGCCUUACAGGUCAGCUGUGAAAACUCGAGGCUCAACCUCGAGACGUCGGUUGAAACCGUAAGGCUAGAGUCCGGAAGAGGAGAGUGGAAUUCCCGGUGUAGCGGUGAAAUGCGCAGAUAUCGGGAAGAACACCCGUGGCGAAGGCGGCUCUCUGGGACGGUACUGACGCUGAGGUGCGAAAGCGUGGGUAGCAAACGGG